rnacentral:tRNA from 1 species
GGGAAUGUAGCUCAGCGGUAGAGCACUUGCCUAGCACACACCAGGCCCUGGGUUCAACUUCCAGCACACCAA